rnacentral:rRNA from 1 species
GACGAACGCUGGCGGCGUGCUUAACACAUGCAAGUCGAACGGAAAGGCCCUGCUUUUGUGGGGUGCUCGAGUGGCGAACGGGUGAGUAACACGUGAGUAACCUGCCCUUGACUUUGGGAUAACUUCAGGAAACUGGGGCUAAUACCGGAUAGGAGCUCCUGCUGCAUGGUGGGGGUUGGAAAGUUUCGGCGGUUGGGGAUGGACUCGCGGCUUAUCAGCUUGUUGGUGGGGUAGUGGCUUACCAAGGCUUUGACGGGUAGCCGGCCUGAGAGGGUGACCGGGCACAUGGGGCCUGAGGUAGGGCCCAGAAGCGUACGGGAGGCAGCAGGGGGGAAUAUUGCACAAUGGGCGGAAGCGUGAUGCAGCAGCGCCGCGUGCGGGAUGACGGCCUUCGGGUUGUAAACCGCUUUCGCCUGUGACGAAGCGUGGGUGACGGUAAUGGGUAAAGAAGCACCGGCUAACUACGUG